rnacentral:rRNA from 1 species
CCUACGGGAGGCAGCAGUGGGGAAUUGUUCGCAAUGGGCGCAAGCCUGACGACGCAACGCCGCGUGGAGGAUGAAGGUCUUCGGAUUGUAAACUCCUGUUGCCUGGGACGCGGUACCAGGUGAGGAAGCCCCGGCUAACUCUGUGCCAGCAGCCGCGGUAAUACAGAGGGGGCAAGCGUUGUUCGGAAUUACUGGGCGUAAAGGGCGCGUAGGCGGCCUGUUAAGUCGAACGUGAAAUCCCCGGGCUCAACCCGGGAACUGCGUCCGAUACUGGCAGGCUUGAAUUCGGGAGAGGGAUGCGGAAUUCCAGGUGUAGCGGUGAAAUGCGUAGAUAUCUGGAGGAACACCGGUGGCGAAGGCGGCAUCCUGGACCGGUUGACGCUGAGGCGCGAAAGCCAGGGGAGCAAACGGGAUUAGAUACCCCUGUAGUC